GUUAAAUGAGCGACCAAUCAUCUUUGCUCUGAGCAAUCUGACUGCUAAAGCUGAGUGUACUGCAGAGGAUGCAUACAUACACUCUCACACAGAUACGACUGUCUUGGAUGUGCUAAGAAUAACAAGGAGCAGACUGUCUCUAAUUCAAGGUUAAGUGGAGCCUGUUGUUGGUCAAAAUGUAAGAGAAUUCAGGCCUAACUGAUCAUAGAGUAAAUUUGAUUGUUCAUAAAGGAUAUUAAAUAAAGAAUCACAAAAUUAUAAACAUGAAAUAUAAAAUGUAUUGUAACAGUAGGUGUAGCUCAUCAAAUGGCUAAUGAAUGUGCUUUUCUGAGAGUGUGUGUGUGUGUGUGUGUGUGUGUGUGUGUGUGUGUGUGUGUGUGUGUGUGUGUGUGUGUGUGUUAGGGUCGGUGUUUGUUUGCCAGUGGGAGUCCGUUUGCUGCUGUAACUCUGGAUGAUGGCAGGAUGGUGAUUCUGGGACAGGGGAACAAUGCUUACAUAUUCCCAGGUGUGGCUCUGGCAGUAAUUCUGAGUGGUGUUAGACACAUCAGUGAUACGGUGUUCCUCGAGGCUGCAAAGCUGUGGAGAGCGGAGCGUGGUGAGCAUCUUAGCAGAGCAGUUGACGGAUGAGGAACUGAAUCAGAAUCAGGGUCGUCUCUACCCUCCUCUUUCCAACAUUAGGGAGGUUUCUUUACAGAUGGCUGUGAGGAUAAGAUUAAUGUUUAUACAUACACACAAUGUGGUGGAGUUUCUGUACAGUAAAGGAAUGGCAUUUCGGUACCCAGAGCCACUGGAUAAGGAGGCGUAUGUGAGAUCCAUUGUGUGGAACACGGAGUACGAUUCCUUCCUCCCAGACAUCUACGAACGGGCUGGAGUGUCCCAUAGUCCUAUAGUGGAGUAAUCAUACACCCUAUAGCAUACACCUGAAACAGUCACACCCUUCAUUUACAGCUGUGUAAUGUUUAACUAUCACACAUCCCCAUGGGGAGUGAUUCCUAAACUCCUUCUGCUAAUGUAAAUGUACAGUGUUGCUAUUAUUAAAACACUCCACGUGUGUGUGUGUG